GCUCCAGUGGCCAAAUGGUUAGGGCAUCUGCUUUGGAUGUGGGAGGUCAUGGGUUCGAACCCUGGCCGAGUCA